AGAGUUUGAUCCUGGCUCAGGACGAACGCUGGCGGCGUGCUUAACACAUGCAAGUCGAACGGGGUGUUUAUUUCGGUAAACACCAAGUGGCGAACGGGUGAGUAACGCGUAAGCAAUCUACCUUCAAGAUGGGGACAACACUUCGAAAGGGGUGCUAAUACCGAAUGAAUGUAAGAGUAUCGCAUGAGACACUUACUAAAGGAGGCCUCUGAAAAUGCUUCCGCUUGAAGAUGAGCUUGCGUCUGAUUAGCUAGUUGGUGAGGGUAAAGGCCCACCAAGGCGACGAUCAGUAGCCGGUCUGAGAGGAUGAACGGCCACAUUGGGACUGAGACACGGCCCAGACUCCUACGGGAGGCAGCAGUGGGGAAUCUUCCGCAAUGGGCGAAAGCCUGACGGAGCAACGCCGCGUGAACGAUGAAGGUCUUAGGAUCGUAAAGUUCUGUUGUUAGGGACGAAGGGUAAGAAUCAUAAUACGGUUUUUAUUUGACGGUACCUAACGAGGAAGCCACGGCUAACUACGUGCCAGCAGCCGCGGUAAUACGUAGGCGGCAAGCGUUGUCCGGAAUUAUUGGGCGUAAAGGGAGCGCAGGCGGGAAACUAAGCGGAUCUUAAAAGUGCGGGGCUCAACCCCGUGAUGGGGUCCGAACUGGUUUUCUUGAGUGCAGGAGAGGAAAGCGGAAUUCCCAGUGUAGCGGUGAAAUGCGUAGAUAUUGGGAAGAACACCAGUGGCGAAGGCGGCUUUCUGGACUGUAACUGACGCUGAGGCUCGAAAGCUAGGGUAGCGAACGGGAUUAGAUACCCCGGUAGUCCUAGCCGUAAACGAUGGAUACUAGGUGUGGGAGGUAUCGACCCCUUCCGUGCCGGAGUUAACGCAAUAAGUAUCCCGCCUGGGGAGUACGG
rnacentral:rRNA from 1 species